rnacentral:rRNA from 1 species
UGGGGGAUAUUGCACAAUGGGCGAAAGCCUGAUGCAGCGACGCCGCGUGGGGGAUGAAGGCUUUCGGGUUGUAAACCUCUUUCGCUAUCGAACAAGGCCCGCUUAGGGUGGGUUGAGGGUAGGUGGAGAAGAAGCGCCGGCUAACUACGUGCCAGCAGCCGCGGUAAUACGUAGGGCGCGAGCGUUGUCCGGAAUUAUUGGGAGUAAAGGGCUCGUAGGCGGCUUGUUGCGCCUGCUGUGAAAACGCGGGGCUUAACUUCGCGCGUGCAGUGGGUACGGGCAGGCUUGAGUGUGGUAGGGGUGACUGGAAUUCCAGGUGUAGCGGUGGGAUGCGCAGAUAUCUGGGGGAACACCGAUGGAGAAGGAAGGUCACUGGGCCAUUACUGACGCUGAGGAGCGAAAGAAUGGGUAGCGAACAGG